UACGGAGGGUGCAAGCGUUAUCCGGAUUCACUGGGUUUAAAGGGUGCGUAGGUGGGCUAGUAAGUCAGUGGUGAAAUCUCCGGGCUUAACCCGGAAACUGCCAUUGAUACUAUUAGUCUUGAAUACCAUGGAGCUGAGCGGAAUAUGUCAUGUAGCGGUGAAAUGCUUAGAUAUGACAUAGAACACCAAUUGCGAAGGCAGCUCGCUACGCGGUUAUUGACACUGAGGCACGAAAGCGUGGGGAUCAAACAGG
rnacentral:rRNA from 1 species